UUAGGCCUCAAACCCCUUUUUUCAAUAAAUUUACUCUGACUUACCAUUUAAAAAAUAAGAAAAAUCCAUUCUAACAGCUACAAUUGAUUUGCUGAAGUGCUGCAAUAACAAGCUAUCCUAUCCUAUUUCUUAACCCUCGUAUGAUCAAUUGACAAAACGACCAGGUUCAAUGAACCACCACGCUACUAUUCCUACAGUCCUACUCCCCCAAGCAUGAGCGACGCCCCCUCCAAUUUAGUCAAUGACAUUGCUCCUUAAAAGUUAAAACCCUCCUUCUGCCUUAAAACCACUGCUGCAACCACCACUACCACCACCGAUCAUUAUGGCGUUCUCUGAGUUUAGGCCACUUGAUGAGAAAUCUUUGAUAGAGUACAUCAAGGCCACGCCUGUUUUAUACAACAAGCUUGGCAAUAAUUUCGAUGACUUGAAAAUCAAAGAAGUUGGAGAUGGGAAUCUCAAUUUCGUCUUCAUUGUUGUUGGCUCCGCUGGCUCUUUUGUCAUCAAGCAGGCCCUUCCUUACAUACGUUGUAUUGGAGAAUCAUGGCCCAUGACUAAGGAAAGAGCCUAUUUUGAGGCUGUGGCACUUAAAGCGCAUGGUCAGUUGUGCCCUGAACAUGUUCCUGAAGUUUAUCAUUUUGACCGAACUAUGUCUUUGAUUGGCAUGCGAUACCUGGAGCCUCCACAUAUUAUCCUAAGAAAAGGAUUAAUUGCUGGAAUUCAGUAUCCUCAUCUAGCAGAACAUAUUUCAGAUUACAUGUCAAAGACCCUUUUUUACACAUCCCUUUUGUAUCGUACCACCACUGAGCACAAACGUGAUGUUGCUGAGUUCUGUGGGAAUGUGGAGUUAUGCAGGCUUACAGAGCAAGUUGUUUUUUCUGACCCGUACAAAGUAUCUCAAUAUAACCACUGGACUUCCCCUUACCUUGAUCAAGAUGCUGAGGCUGUCCGUGAGGAUAAUGUUUUAAAGCUCGAAAUUGCUGAAUUAAAAUCAAAGUUCUGUGAAAGAGCCCAAGCCUUAAUACAUGGAGAUCUCCACACUAGUUCUGUCAUGGUUACUCCUUAUUCAACACAGGUUAUAGAUUCAGAAUUUGCAUUUUAUGGACCAAUGGGUUUCGAUGUGGGAGCUUUCAUUGGAAACUUGUUUUUGGCGUACUUUGCUCAAGAUGGCCAUGCUGAUUUAGUAGAUGACCGAAAAUCAUUUAAAGAAUGGGUUUUGAGGACGACUGAAGACACAUGGAAUCUUUUUCACAAAAAAUUCACAGCACUUUGGGACAAGCACAAGGAUGGACAUGGUGAGGCAUAUCUUCCAGCAAUUUAUAAUAACCCUGAGCUUCAGCAGCUUAUACAGGAAAAAUACAUGAAAGAUUUGUUCCAUGACACCCUUGGAUUUGGUGCAGCUAAAAUGAUAAGGAGAAUUGUCGGUGUUGCCCAUGUUGAGGAUUUUGAAUCAAUAAAAGAUGCUAGCAAACGAGCUGAAUGUGAGCGGCAGGCCCUCGAGUUUGCAAAACUACUCCUCAAAGAAAGGCGGCGAUUCCAGUCCAUCAAUGAAGUUGUGUCAGCUAUUCGGGCAUAAGUUCAUGACAAACUUUUGGGUAAAAUAUUAUGCACUGUUACUGAUUUUGGUUCCGAAUACAGCUUUUCCAGUCCAUGUUCCGCACUUCUCUUCAGGAGCAAAUUACUUGAAUUAACUUCAAUAUAUAUUUUCAGCAUUUCUAAGAAAUAAACCUUAGUAAUCUUUCCAUCAGCGAUGAGUAUGCAUCUGGCUUUGUUCUAUGUUUAUUCCUACUGUGAUACUGUAAACAAUAAUUUGCCAAGAUGAUUAGUCUAACUUGCUGUCAAUCCAUUCAUUGUAUAUUUUAUUUUGACUAAAAAAUAUUAAAUUAUAUGCUAGACAUUAUCAAACAACACCAAAAUAAUAAACAAAAGCAUGAAAAAUAGAAUUACAACCCUAAACCUGACAUUAAACAAUUUUGACUACAACUUUAUGUUACUGAAAUUGCUUAGAACAUAAUUCUCUACCAUAUGAUGUCAAUGUCAGUAAAAUUAUUUCUUAAAACAUAAUCUAGAAGCGGAAAGCAUUUUUCAUGGAAAUUAAGCUAGAGAAGGAAAAUAAUGUGCUCAUCAAUAUCAGUGAAAUUAGACCCGAGUCUUAGAAAAAAAAAAUCAUAUAAAAACAUAAUCCACCUUUAGCUCAUAAAUGCAGGUAUCGAGAAGGCGUAUGGCAUGAAACAUGUAUCACUGGAUAUAAAGAAGACUCUGAAGGAGAUUCUGAUCAGACUGAAGAUUCUGGAGGUUUUGAUUCCAAUGAAAAAUCUACUGUUCAAGCUUUACCACUUACAAAAUGAUUAAACCAAUAACUGUAAAAUUACCAGAUGGUAGUCAAAUUGUAGCUAAUUUUUCUGGCACAAUUCAUUUUUCUCCUUCUCUUGUUUUAACAGAUGUCCUUUAUAUUCCUGAGUUUAAAUUCAACCUUAUAUCUGUUACCAAACUCACUUCUACCUUACAUUGUUUUCUAACUUUUCAAUAUGAUAAGUGUCUCAUCCA
rnacentral:misc_RNA from 1 species